AAAUGUUAACGGAAUGGUGGCCGCUUUUAGAUGAAAGGAGUGCCUGGCGUCCGUUAGCUUGUUAGGUGGACGACAUUCGGAAGACUGCGGGUCACUUCUGGAUGAGAUUGGCUCAGGACCGGGACAAGUGGCGUACUGGAAGAGAGGCCUAUGCUCAACAAUGGGCGAUAAAAGGCUGAUAUGAUGAUGAUGAUGAUGACAACACGUCAGAUGGCAGUCGCUUUCGUAAAAACUAGUGUCUACGCCAAUUCUUGGGAUUAGUUGCCAAGCGGACCCCAGGCUCCCAUGAGCCGUGACAAAAUGCCGGGACAACGCGAGG